rnacentral:rRNA from 1 species
AUACGUAGGGGGCGAGCGUUGUCCGGAAUGAUUGGGCGUAAAGGGCGCGUAGGCGGCCCGGUAAGUCUGGAGUGAAAGUCCUGCUUUUAAGGUGGGAAUUGCUUUGGAUACUGUCGGGCUUGAGUGCAGGAGAGGUAAGUGGAAUUCCCAGUGUAGAGGUGAAAUGCGUAGAGAUUGGGAGGAACACCAGUGGCGAAGGCGACUUACUGGGCUGUAACUGACGCUGAGGCGCGAAAGUGUGGGGAGCAAACAGGAUUAGAUAGCCUGGUAGACCACACUGUAAACGAUGAAUGCUAGGUGUAGGGGGUAUCGACCCCUUCUGUGCCGCAGUUAACACAAUAAGCAUUCCGCCUGGGGAGUACGGCAGCAAGGUUGAAACUCAAAGGGAUUGACGGGG